UUAGGAAGGCAAUAUACAAAAACCUGUAAGAGAACACUCCAACCUUCCUGGCCGCACAAUAGCAGAUUUAAAGGUAGCCAUCGUACAGCAAAAAAA